CUAGGGAUGUAACUGUAGCAAGCAUCUCACUAUCACUAACGUUAUCCACAUUCCCAUUUAGACGCAACAAAUGAUAUAUUUAGCUACAAAAAGUUGGGUAAGUACAAGGAGUCGUUGCUCUGGAGAGGAUACACCGUCUGGUCUGGUCACGGUUCACAACGCUGCAGACCCACGAGAUGCAAGGAGCUGCACCUUUUAACUCGUGAAUCUUUGGUCUGAACUGGUCUUAAUAGACUUGGUACCAUUACAGAAUGUUUUUUUUUUUUUUCCCAAUACCAACACUCUCAAGUUGCAUGUUGUCUAAACACAAGCAACCGCACAAGAUUUUUGCCUAAAUACAGUGAAAAACUGUCAGGAUAUGGUUCAAUUCAGGAGUUA